rnacentral:rRNA from 1 species
CCUACGGGUGGCAGCAGUGAGGAAUAUUGGUCAAUGGACGAGAGUCUGAACCAGCCAAGUAGCGUGAAGGAUGACUGCCCUAUGGGUUGUAAACUUCUUUUAUAUGGGAAUAAAAUGUUCCACGUGUGGGCUUUUGUAUGUACCAUAUGAAUAAGGAUCGGCUAACUCCGUGCCAGCAGCCGCGGUAAUACGGAGGAUCCGAGCGUUAUCCGGAUUUAUUGGGUUUAAAGGGAGCGUAGGUGGAUUGUUAAGUCAGUUGUGAAAGUUUGCGGCUCAACCGUAAAAUUGCAGUUGAAACUGGCAGUCUUGAGUACAGUAGAGGUGGGCGGAAUUCGUGGUGUAGCGGUGAAAUGCUUAGAUAUCACGAAGAACUCCGAUUGCGAAGGCAGCUUACUGGACUGCAACUGACACUGAGGCUCGAAAGUGUGGGUAUCAAACAGGAUUAGAUACCCCUGUAGUC